UACGGGGGGGGCAAGCGUUGUUCGGAAUUACUGGGCGUAAAGGGCUCGUAGGCGGCCAACUAAGUCAUACGUGAAAUCCCUCGGCUUAACCGGGGAACUGCGUCUGAUACUGGAUGGCUUGAGUUCGGGAGAGGGAUGCGGAAUUCCAGGUGUAGCGGUGAAAUGCGUAGAUAUCUGGAGGAACACCGGUGGCGAGGGCGGCAUCCUGGACCGAUACUGACGCUGAGGAGCGAAAGCCAGGGGAGCAAAGCGGGAUUAAGCAAACC
rnacentral:rRNA from 1 species